rnacentral:rRNA from 1 species
GUUGGUGAGGUAACGGCCCACCAAGGCGACGAUCGGUAGCCGGACUGAGAGGUUGAACGGCCACAUUGGGACUGAGACACGGCCCAGACUCCUACGGGAGGCAGCAGUGGGGAAUAUUGCACAAUGGGGGAAACCCUGAUGCAGCGACGCCGCGUGGAGGAAGAAGGUCUUCGGAUUGUAAACUCCUGUUGUUGAGGAAGAUAAUGACGGUACUCAACAAGGAAGUGACGGCUAACUACGUGCCAGCAGCCGCGGUAAAACGUAGGUCACAAGCGUUGUCCGGAAUUACUGGGUGUAAAGGGAGCGCAGGCGGGAAGACAAGUUGGAAGUGAAAUCUAUGGGCUCAACCCAUAAACUGCUUUCAAAACUGUUUUUCUUGAGUAGUGCAGAGGUAGGCGGAAUUCCCGGUGUAGCGGUGGAAUGCGUAGAUAUCGGGAGGAACACCAGUGGCGAAGGCGGCCUACUGGGCACCAACUGACGCUGAGGCUCGAAAGUGUGGGUAGCAAACAGGAUUAGAUACCCUGGUAGUCCACACCGUAAACGAUGAUUACUAGGUGUUGGAGGAUUGACCCCUUCAGUGCCGCAGU